GUGAGUAUAGUGAGAACCCAGCUAUCUGCAGGCAUUGCUGCCAAACGCUGUUAAAACAUCUGCAUGUUUCUUAUCACCACUUGGAGAGGAUUAACAUGCCAGGCCAGAUAUUAAUGAGGGAGCGGGUUAUAAACCCAUCUCAGCUUGCACACUGUGUUCACAUCAAGAAAAGCAAAGCAGGAGCAGGACAGAUCAAAAGAGAGCCAUUAAAGGCGUGAGAAAAACAGUGCUGCCAUAUAAGGAGCUAAUAAAGUUAGCAGCUCUCCAGUUUGGAGGAAAAAAGGGCAGGAGGAUCAGAAAACAUCCUUGGGGUUCAUACCAAAAGUGAAGGAAACAGCCAGAGGCAGCCUCCCAUCUAGGAGCAAACGUGGAUAAAUAGAAGGGCACUUUACAGAGCAAGCCGACAGCACUGCUCAUACAUUUUUAACACGUAACAUAAUGUUCAUGACAUUUCUAACCCAGUAUCUUACCCCAAGUGGUGGAGCUUGCUAAAAAAAUACAAGAUUAGAUAGGGAACAAGGACAGCAACAGGAGCUGUGUUCGCUAAAACCGUAACUCCCUACAAUCAGUCCUGGCUCAGUGAGGGCUCUGCUUUGUGGGCUCACAGCAUUGCAGCUGCAGAGUGGGGUGGGAGGCGUUACACUGCUCCCCACAGCUGGGGACACCACACUGACCAGACCUGCAUGGAUUACAGCACUCGCAUUCACAGCACGCAGCGAUUACCCUCAGUGUCCAGGUAGCGCUCCAAGUCUUCACGAUGUGUUAACUCUGUCCCUUUGAGUCACUGCAUCAGCUGUACCAGGAUUCUCUGACUCCUUUUCAAGCACUGCUCCCAGCCAGACUCCAUGCUGUUCUCAUCCACACAACGCAGGGGAUGAGAGCUGCUGCAAAAUAGUGCCACUGUGGCCAAUGGCUGAGCAUCAGUUACCUUCUGCAGCACAGCAAACGCAGCUCAGGAGCUCCUGGAAUUUGGUUUAUGCUGAACCCAUUUGUGUAUAUAUAUAUAUAAAAGCACACUUCCGUUUUCAAAAUACGUUGCUACCCAAAAAUAGAUGUUUCUUCAACAGCAGAGCACGGAGCAAUUGCUAAGCCAUGCAAGCAAAACACCAUGUACAGCCAGAGGACUGCAAAAGAACUCACUCUUGCUUACUGCAUAGUAGAAUUUUUUGGAAUUAAUACCUAAUUUUUCACCCACUGUGGAAAAAAAAAUAGGAACAUUACAGCGCCAGCUUCUGCCCUGGUUCCUUUUGCCCCCAAACAUCUCUGCAAUCACAUCCUGAAGUGCUGUACCUGCUAGUUUUUUUUUCCAAACAUGAAGCAUUUCAUCCUCUAGGCAGAGGGCUUCAGUCUUCCAGGCUGUGAAACAGAACAUUUCAGGGGAAUAAGAUGAAAAAAAAGAAAAGCCCCCCAGCCCCACCUGAUUUGACUACUGCAAAGGAUACAAACCUCCUGGGAGUGGAGAGAUCACUGUAUCCUGUAUGUUGCCAUGUUUAACACACAGCUGCAGUGCGUUACCUCUCCAUGAAAAGGCCCACGUGCAAUGCCCAGCAGGAAUGACAGAAAUCACGCUGGAGAAGUCACAGGACAAGGGUUUAAAACAGUGCAACUCCGUGAGUUGAAGGCUGUUCUUCUUCACAUCCCCAAUCACAUCUGAUUGUCAUGCCCAGAGCAAAAUAAAUAGCAAGCCAGCUAUCUUCAAUGCUUUUGAUUCAUCAUGUUGGCACCGAAGUCACUUCACUGUGUUCUAAAUGAAGCAGACUGAGCGCACGCUUGUGCCCUUAUUGCUCUCUCACUUCAGGGAAAGGCAAAGAAGAAAAGUACUUGUGCGUGGAGAUGUAUUUGAAAGGAGAACAGUUUCUUGGCUAGCUUUGGCUUUCAUUUUAUAUCACCAAUAGCACUGCAUAACACAAUGCACGCUUAUGCUUUUUUACCUCUUUGGCAUAAUAGGAAAGCUUAAAAGGCUGCAGUGUCCCCCCGCUGGAAGAGGAGCAGAGGUUUCUAUCAUUCACUUGCUUUUUGCACCAGAAAUUCAGGUUUUGUUUAGCUUGGAAACCUCACAGAUGUCGUUCUGGUAACUCUUCAAUCCAAAGCGUGUGGCGGUAGAAGUCCAACACUCCCAAGGGAGCCCUCAGUUAUCCCAAACUGCCACAGAAAAGUAGUACAAUUCCCACAGGGUACAGUGGCCUGAAAAACAUGAAGGCAUCCCAAACAGUUUGUUGGUCCCCUGUACCUGCAGGCCAGCAGAGGCCACCAAUCAGCACCAGGCAUAUCUCCAAACACAUCCCUAACAAGAGGAUAAAAUGAACGUCCUAUCCAGGCUGGUUUAAUUCAAACACAGAUGAGCCUUUUUAGGAACACAAGCAAUUGGCAGUUUUCACAUACACCACGCACCAGCUUCUCCCAGCUCUCCAUCACACUAUGAAAUCUGGCCUGGACAUCUCAUACUUACCCCUCAGCUAAAUUUUUGCCAGAAAAAGCAUAACGUCACAGCUGUGCUCCAAAUCACUGCAGCAACCAGGCAAUGAAAUCACCACUCAGAAAGUGUUGCUCCAGCUUAGGAGGGCAGGGCCCCUCCAUUGGUCAGCCAGUGGCACUCACGCAACACCAUAGCCAAUAUUCUCAUUGAUGAAGGCUAAUGAGGAGGUGCCAAUACCUGCUCUCCUUGCUCACAAGUGACUGCUUGGACUGUGCACAUUGAAGUCAUGGUGACCUAGGAGAGAUCAGAACCAGCUGCUUUUGAUUACCUUCUGCCACACAACAAAAGAAACUACACCCAGAAAGGAAGCAUACUCCUUCCUUCUGGCAAGUAAGCACAACUUUGAGGAAUUGAGUAAUAAAGCUGUGGCAUCUCGUGGGAGCAAGCUCACAGGAAAAAUAGUUCAAGGGGACCCUGAUCUUCAGCAACACCAUUUAGCACGUUGCAACGCUCCCUCUGACGUCUGUGCAUUACAUUUGCCUGAGCAAAAUGAGAAGUAAUAAACUAUUGCGUGUAGGUCCGUUUGCUGGUAGGGAAAGGGGCCCCACAGUUUUACUCCCUGGAGGCACCAGCUCUCCCCACCCCUUUUGUGUGUAUUUUUUUUUUUUUUAAUGUGCCACACAUCAGCACAAUGCUGACAACUGCAUUGUAUGCUUUUCUGCCUAUGCAGCACUUCAAGAACACACAACUCUGGAAGGUUUUUGAAACGGGAAAGGGGGAGGGAGCUGUCCUUUGCUAUCUCAUUUUAAUUGCACAGCUCGCUCCUCUACAUGACCACAGGGAAGGGAUAAAAAUAAACGGUUAAAACCAGUACUGUUUUUAUCAUCCAAAAGGGUCAGACUAAGUCUUCUCACGAGAUACAGUCAGUUGUGCUUAGAAUAAAAGCUACCACGAGCAAGGAUAAAAAAGCACAGGGUUUCUUCUCUGGCACUGGAACCUCCCCUGUCCUCCUCACUGUUGUUUCGGUCUCCUCCUUUCCACACCUUCCAGUGCAGAG
ensembl:lncRNA